rnacentral:rRNA from 1 species
CCUACGGGAGGCUGCAGUGAGGAAUAUUGGUCAAUGGUCGCGAGACUGAACCAGCCAAGCCGCGUGAAGGAUGACUGCACUGAGGAUCGUAAACUUCUUUUAUCUGGGAAUAAAGUGCAGUAUGUAUCCCGCUAUGCAUGUACCUUAUGAAUAAGGAUCGGCUAACUCCGUGCCAGCAGCCGCGGUAAUACGGAGGAUCCGAGCGUUAUCCGGAUUUAUUGGGGUUAAAGGGUGCGUAGGCGGGUUGUUAAGUCAGGUGUGAAAGUUCGCGGCUCAACCGUGAAAGUGCAGUUGAUACUGGCAGCCUUGAGUACAGGAGAGGGAGGCGGAAUGCGUGGUGUAGCGGUGAAAUGCUUAGAUAUCACGAAGAACUCCGAUUGCGAAGGCAGCCUGCUGGACUGUAACUGACGCUGAUGCUCGAAAGUGUGGGUAUCAAACAGGAUUAGAUACCCUUGUAGUC